UACGGAGGAUGCGAGCGUUAUCCGGAAUCACUGGGUUUAAAGGGUGCGUAGGCGGGUUUGUAAGUCCGUGGUGAAAGCCGGUCGCCCAACGAUCGAAUUGCCAUUGAUACUGCAAGUCUUGAAGGACAGUGAAGUUGGCAGAAUGUGACAUGUAGCGGUGAAAUGCAUAGAUAUGUCAUAGAAUACCAAUUGCGAAGGCAGCCGACCGGCUGUUUCUUGACGCUGAGGCACGAAAGCGUGGGGAUCAAACAGG
rnacentral:rRNA from 1 species